CUUGGUAAUUACCUCCCAUCCCGAGCCCAUCUUCCAUGGCCUAUCCAUCGGGCGUCCGGCCUCCAUUCACCACUCGGUGUGCCCGCGGGAAGACAUCUCCCUCCGGCCAGCCGGUUUUCCUCCUUCGAAUUAAAAAAAAUCUUAAAGGUGAAGGAGAGGAGAGGGGAUUCUAGUUCUUUGUAAGAAAAAAAUGUAGUUAAUCUUGGAAACUUUAAUCCUUCCGUCCUGGAAAUAAUUUGAUUUGAUAUUCUUCCUCCAUUUGAUCCAUUUCUUGCUCGCUUUCCGGAUGUCGCGAUCGUCGUUCAACAAGCCGGAGUCGCCGGUGGCGGCGUCAGCGGAGGGGAGACGACGAUGACGAGGAUGUCGCUCGUGGAGUCGUUCCGGGCGUGCAGGAUCACAGGGGCGAGGCUCGACAAGGAGUAUCUCCGCCGGAGGAUCACUAUCCCCGACCGCCUCAGGGUCGCCAUGGCCUAGGCCAUCUGGUCCGGGGAUCCUGCCGCCACCGCGGGCGGCGGCGUCGGUGGAGGAGGUGGGGGCGCACGGCCCGUGCCUCGGGGACGACGACGAGCCGGAGGAACCCAUUAUCGUGUUCCUUAACUCCCGCAGCGGCGGCCGCCACGGCCCCGUCCACAAGCGCCACCUCCAGGAGUUGAUGGGCGAGGAGCAGGUCCCCGAAACGUUUUUGAUCUUUCAAUGGUGAAGCCUUCUGAAUUUGUGUACUAUGGCUUGGCUUGCUUGGAGAAGUUGGCUGCUCUUGGAGACCAUUCCGCAAAGGAAACUUGGAGAAGUUGAGAAUAAUGGAAUGAGAACAAAUGUGAAUAUGUCGUUCCGUAGUUGGCUUUCCUGCUUUUAAACUGCAUGUUGUUAACUUGACAAAGUGCACAAACUUUUCAGGAGCCUCUUGCAGGGGUAUACUAUUUAGUGGGAUAUGUUGAUCUCAAACUGGUAGUUUUGGAUAUGUUGAUCUCAAAUUCUGUUGUAACAUAUUUGUUAAAUGGGGAAAAUUAACUUUUGUUUAAUAUGUUGCAUUGUCCUAUGUAUUCUGUGAUUAUGAAAUCAUAUUAUUUUACUGGGAGUUUUGUAAUGACGUUCCACCAUAACUUUGUGAUUAUAAGAUAUAUAAUAUUUGAAUCAAUCUGAUUACGUGUUUCAGGCUGCAGCAUUAGAUUGGAAAUCAGAGGUGGGCAACGGAGAGAUGCUUAUAUCCAAAUGGAUGGGGAGUCAUGGAAACAACCAAUGAGUAUGAAUUAUUCAAGUUUUGUGGAAAUAAAAUGGGUAACAUUUCAGUCACUCAUAAUAAGUGGCGAGUGAUUCUAAUGGUUUAUUGGAUAAGGGACAUAUCUUGAGGAUGCAGUGACAUAGAAAAAAUGCAGGCAUGGUUUGCUGUUACCUGAUGGUCAUUUUUUUUAUGGCCUCAUUACUGAAUUACUGUCUAGGAAAGCUAUUUGUGAAGCAUGCUUACUGUUUUAAAUUGGCUUAGGUUCAGAGUUUCUAGUUUCACAUAGGGGGACUGUGAUAUCCAAAUCUAGCAUUUGGCAUCAUUGUUUGUUUGCCCUUCCACUAAAAUAAUUAAGUGGGAUUCUCUUUUCCUUUUACAUUUUACUCCUUUUGCUGAAUCUUUAAGGAGACAAUAACCAUUUGACUAAAAGCCGAUGUUCCACUCCUUGCAUUUACUUGGUUUGAUGAUCCACUAUCUUGCAUUUACUUUGUUUAUACUUUAUAAUAUACCUGGAGAACACUGAAGUUUAGAUCCUCAAUUAGCUUAAUUAUCAUAUGUAUUUGCCAUUUCUUUAAAUCAAGUUCGCAAAGACCUUUUUAUUUUUCUUUUUGUAGGCACCUUUGCUCAGUGGGUGGCAUCUUUAAAGCAGGGAAAGUGCAUUUGGAGGAACAUGCCCACAUCCUGUUGCCCCUUGAGUUUGGACAACGAGGACUUGUCAAUUUGCGGUGACUGGACGAGUAGAUGCCUAUCUGUCUGUCUGCAACUUUCUCCCCACCCAUUCAUAUAGUUGAUUUGGACCACGUUAAACCAAAGGGAUUGAAUAUAAUGGAGAAUUGGCUUUUAAAUUUCAUUCUAAAGGUGAAAUCUAUUAAGACUUCCAUGGUUAUGGGACGCAGAGGAUGUAUGACAUCUAUUGAAGGGGAUGUACUUUAUAAUCCUUGCAAUGUAGCAGAAGCAGAAUGAAGAGUUGGUCCUUGCGUUAGUUGAAGAUUUAGCUGAGUACCAUGAAACAGUGUGCCUGAAGGUUCAGAGUGUUUCUGGGUUGAUUGGACAGAGACAGGUUGGGCAAGAAACUGACCUAUUCUUCCACUUUCUUUGGAUGGGGCAGCUCAGCACCUAUACAGCCUUGCCAAUAGGAGCAACCCUGUUUAGAUGGAGCAGGAAAGUAUACGUGGUGGGGUGCACCAUAAUAUAAAGACAGAUCAUAUGUCAUCAUCGCAUAGUCCUCCCUAAAGUAGUAGG